GGUUCGAUCAUGGCUCAGAUUGAACGCUGGCGGGAUGCUUUACACAUGCAAGUCGAACGGCAGCACGGACUUCGGUCUGGUGGCGAGUGGCGAACGGUGAGUAAUGUAUCGGAACGUGCCUAGUAGCAGGGGAUAACUACGCAGCGUAGCUAAUACCGCAUACGCCCUUCGGGGGAAAGCGGGGACCUUCGGGCCUCGCACUAUUAGAGCGGCCGAUAUCGGAUUAGCUAGUUGGUGGGAAUAACGGCUCACCAGGCGACGAUCCGUAGCUGGUUUUGAGAGGACGACCAACCGCAUCUGGGGACUGAGACACGGCCCAGACUCCUACGGGGAGGCAGCAGUGGGGAAUUUUGGACAAUGGGGAAGCCCUGAUCCAGCCAUCCCGCGUGUGCGAUGAGGCCUUCGGGUUGUAAAGCACUUUUGGCAGGAAGAGCGGCACGGGAUAAUACCCCGUGCAACUGACAAUGCCUGCAGAAUAGCACCGGCUAACUACGUGCCGGCAAGCCGCGGUAAUACGUAGGGUGCAAGCGUUAAUGGAAUUACUGGGCGUAAAGCGUACCGCGGGCGGUUCGGAAGAAGAUGUGAAAUCCCAGAGCUUAACUUUGGAACUGCAUUUUUAACUACCGAGCUAGAGAGUGUGUCAGAGGGAGGUGGAAUUCCGCGUGUAGCAGUGAAAUGCGUAGAUAUGCGGAGGAACACCGAUGGCGAAGCAGCCUCCUGGGAUAACACUGACGCUCAUGCGAAAACGUGGGAGCAAACGAGUUAGAUACCCUGGUAGUCCACGCCCUAAACGAUGUCAACUAGCUGUUGGGGCCUUCGGGCCUUGGUAGCGCAGCUAACGCGUGAAGUUGACCGCCUGGGGAGAUACGGUCGCAAGAUUAAAACUCAAAGGAAUUGACGGGGACCCACACAAGCGGUGGAUGAUGGAUUAAUUCGAUGCAACGCGAAAAACCUUACCUACCCUUGACUAUGCAUCUGGAAUCCCGAAGAGAUUUGGGAGUGCUCGCAAGAGAACCGGAACACGGUGCUGUGGCUGUCGUCAGCUCGUGUCGUGAAGAGAUGUUGGGUUGGUCCGCAGCAGGGCGCAGCCUUGUCAUUAGUUGCUACGAAGGGCACUCUAAUGAGACUGCCGGUGACAAACCGGAGGAAGGUGGGGAUGACGUCAAGUCCUCAUGGCUCAUGGGUAGGGCUUCACGUCGCGCAAUGGUCGGGACAGAGGUCGCCAACCAGGAGGCCAAUCCCAGAAACCCGAUCGUAGUCCGGAUCGCAGUCUGCAACUCGACUGCGUGAAGUCGGAAUCGCUAGUAAUCGCGGAUCAGCAUGUCGCGGUGAAUACGUUCCCGGGUCUUGUACACACCGCCCCGUCACACCAUGGGAGUGGGACACCAGAAGUAGUUAACCUAACAAUAAGGAGGCGUUAAAUGUGAGAUUCAUGACUGGGGGUGAAGUCGUAACAAAGGUAA
rnacentral:rRNA from 1 species